rnacentral:rRNA from 1 species
UACGUAGGGGGCAAGCGUUGUCCGGAUUUAUUGGGCGUAAAGCGCGUGUAGGCGGCCAGAUAGGUCUGCUGUGAAAACUCGAGGCUCAACCUCGAGCUGUCGGCGGAAACCAUCUGGCUAGAGUCCGGAAGAGGAGAGUGGAAUUCCUGGUGUAGCGGUGAAAUGCGCAGAUAUCAGGAAGAACACCUAUGGCGAAGGCAGCUCUCUGGGACGGUAGUGACGCUGAGACGCGAAAGCGUGGGGAGCGAACAGG